GAAAGAAAAUCUGCAAAUGCAAAUGUGAUAUGUCUGAAUUUUUUGACCAUGGUGAUAUCUUGAAAUUAAAAGAGAAGAAGACAAUAUAAAUAGUAUUUUUGAUGCAUCAUCUUAAAUUACAAAACUAACAAAGCCCAUGAAAUUAAAAAGGUAAAAGAAAAUAUAAUUAUUAGGUGAUUACGGUAAUUAAAUAACAACUCGUAAAAUAUUCUAACGGUUCAUUUGUGUAUUCUCUUAUCAUUGACAUACACAAAUGCUUUUAUGACACCUCCUUCUUGCAGGAUAAUGACAAUUUGGACAAUCACGAUCACGAAUACAGGGUCCAGAAGCUGUAAUGUAAAAAGCGAAAAAAGAAUUAAUGUUACUAAAAUGAGAUAAAUAUUGUGUGUGAAGUAAAGAAUGAAAUUUCAAAAGGUGAUAAGAAAGGCUUACGCUGAAAAUAUUGCGUUGAAACAAGAAAUUGGGAAAGAAGGAUAAUUAUAACAUAAACAAACUUAAAAAAUUUAUCCAUAUUUUCCACCAUUUGCAUGAAAAUUUAUCACUUUUUGAUUUAUAAAGCUCAUAAUCUCCUUACAUCAAUUAAAUAGUUUUUAACACUUAUCAAAUUGUUAAAAGACUUCCUAAAAUAGAUAUAAUUAUUGUAUGUCUCUUAAGAACACCAAUGUCUUAAUUUGCCCCUUUAGCACCUCUCUAGUAAGGAGAUCACAUAAAAAUUUAAUAAUCACAAUUAGUCUUUUUUUUUUUUUAACAAAUUUCAUUAUUUUAUAACCUUUCAUAAUAGAAAAGGAAAAAUUACAAAAUAAAAAUAAUAUUUUUUGUGACACUUUAAACCCCAUAGAUAUAAUUGAAAGUGCUUGACCAAAUGAGGGAGGGGAGAUUUGAAUUGUGUUAACCGAUUUCAAAUUUUAUUUUAGUUUGGUAGAUCUUUUCUUUCUUUCUUAUAAAUCGAAUAAAGAAAUAGGUUCUUUACCAAAACAUUUAAAUGAAGUUAGAUAUAUAAAUUAGAAUGGGUCAUGAUCAAAUGACACCAACUAAUUUAAAUAUAUUAAUUAUACGAUGAACUUAAAAAAAAUUAAAAAGUUGCUUGUGCUUUAUUACAAAAAAUAGAGCACUAUAUAUUUAUAAUAACUAAGUUAAACUGUUUUAUGCCUAAAUUUUUUUUAAUGAUAAAUUGUUAAUCGUUGGUAUAUUAUAUAGGCUUAAAUGCAUUUUUUUUCCCCUUAUUUUCAAAAAAAUGAAGUUUUGGUCCCCUAUUUUAAAAACCAACUUUUUAGUCCCCCUAUUUUUAUUUUUUUUGAGUUUUGAUCCCCCAUCCUAUUUUGGGGUUAAUUUUGUUGAUGUGGCCUUGUAACUAAUGAUGUGGCAACAUUCAUGUGGAAAAAUUUAAUAUCCAUGUCAUUAUUAUAUAUUUUUAAAUUCAAUAAAACUUUAUUUUAAAAAUUAUUUUAAUUGUUAGAAUUAUAUAUUCAACUGAAAUAAUCUAUAUAUAUAAUUCCUAGAUAGUUCUCCUACUAUCCAUCUUAACCCUAAUCCACAUCACCCACUUACAUCCAAUUAAAUCACACAAUAAUGCCACAUCACCCACUUACAUCCAAUUAAAUCACACNNNNNNNNNNNNNNNNNNNNNNNNNNNNNNNNNNNNNNNNNNNNNNNNNNNNNNNNNNNNNNNNNNNNNNNNNNNNNNNNNUUUUUUUUUUGAUAAGCUCUAACGGUUCAUUUGUGUAUUCUCUUAUCAUUGACAUACACAAAUGCUUUUAUGACACCUCCUUCUUGCAGGAUAUAUAAUGACAAUUUGGACAAUCACGAUCACGAAUACAGGGUUUAGAAGCUGUAAUGUAAAAAGCGAAAAAAUAAUUAAUGUUACUAAAAUGAGAUAAAUAUUGUGUGCGAAGUAAAGAAUGAAAUUUCAAAAGGUGAUAAGAAAGGCUUACGCUGAAAAUAUUGCAUUGAAACAAGAAAUUGGGAAAGAAGGAUAAUUAUAACAUAAACAAACUUAAAAAAUUUAUCCAUAUUUUCCACCAUUUGCAUGAAAUUUUAUCACUUUUUGAUUUAUAAAGCUCAUAAUCUCCUUACAUCAAUUAAAUAGUUUUUAACACUUAUCAAAUUGUUAAAAGACUUCCUAAAAUAGAUAUAAUUAUUGUAUGUCUCUUAAGAACACCAAUGUCUU
rnacentral:lncRNA from 1 species